rnacentral:rRNA from 2 species
UUAAGCGACUAAGCGUACACGGUGGAUGCCCUGGCAGUCAGAGGCGAUGAAGGACGUGCUAAUCUGCGAAAAGCGUCGGUAAGGUGAUAUGAACCGUUAUAACCGGCGAUGUCCGAAUGGGGAAACCCAGUGUGAUUCGUCACACUAUCGUUAACUGAAUACAUAGGUUAACGAGGCGAACCGGGGGAACUGAAACAUCUAAGUACCCCGAGGAAAAGAAAUCAACCGAGAUUCCCCCAGUAGCGGCGAGCGAACGGGGAGCAGCCCAGAGUCUGAAUCAGCUUGUGUGUUAGUGGAACGGUCUGGAAAGUCCGACGGUACAGGGUGAUAGUCCCGUACACCAAAAUGCACAGGCUGUGAACUCGAAGAGUAGGGCGGGACACGUGGUAUCCUGUCUGAAUAUGGGGGGACCAUCCUCCAAGGCUAAAUACUCCUGACUGACCGAUAGUGAACCAGUACCGUGAGGGAAAGGCGAAAAGAACCCCGGCGAGGGGAGUGAAAAAGAACCUGAAACCGUGUACGUACAAGCAGUGGGAGCACCUUCGGGUGUGACUGCGUACCUUUUGUAUAAUGGGUCAGCGACUUAUAUUCUGUAGCAAGGUUAACCGUAUAGGGGAGCCGCAGGGAAACCGAGUCUUAACUGGGCGUUAAGUUGCAGGGUAUAGACCCGAAACCCGGUGAUCUAGCCAUGGGCAGGUUGAAGGUUGGGUAACACUAACUGGAGGACCGAACCGACUAAUGUUGAAAAAUUAGCGGAUGACUUGUGGCUGGGGGUGAAAGGCCAAUCAAACCGGGAGAUAGCUGGUUCUCCCCGAAAGCUAUUUAGGUAGCGCCUCGUGAACUCAUCUUCGGGGGUAGAGCACUGUUUCGGCUAGGGGGUCAUCCCGACUUACCAACCCGAUGCAAACUACGAAUACCGAAGAAUGUUAUCACGGGAGACACACGGCGGGUGCUAACGUCCGUCGUGAAGAGGGAAACAACCCAGACCGCCAGCUAAGGUCCCAAAGUCAUGGUUAAGUGGGAAACGAUGUGGGAAGGCACAGACAGCCAGGAUGUUGGCUUAGAAGCAGCCAUCAUUUAAAGAAAGCGUAAUAGCUCACUGGUCGAGUCGGCCUGCGCGGAAGAUGUAACGGGGCUAAACCAUGCACCGAAGCUGCGGCAGCGACACUAUGUGUUGUUGGGUAGGGGAGCGUUCUGUAAGCCUGCGAAGGUGACCUGUGAGGGUUGCUGGAGGUAUCAGAAGUGCGAAUGCUGACAUAAGUAACGAUAAAGCGGGUGAAAAGCCCGCUCGCCGGAAGACCAAGGGUUCCUGUCCAACGUUAAUCGGGGCAGGGUGAGUCGACCCCUAAGGCGAGGCCGAAAGGCGUAGUCGAUGGGAAACAGGUUAAUAUUCCUGUACUUGGUGUUACUGCGAAGGGGGGACGGAGAAGGCUAUGUUAGCCGGGCGACGGUUGUCCCGGUUUAAGCAUGUAGGCUGGUUGUCCAGGCAAAUCCGGAUAAUCAAGGCUGAGGUGUGAUGACGAGGCACUACGGUGCUGAAGUAACAAAUGCCCUGCUUCCAGGAAAAGCCUCUAAGCAUCAGGUAACAUCAAAUCGUACCCCAAACCGACACAGGUGGUCAGGUAGAGAAUACCAAGGCGCUUGAGAGAACUCGGGUGAAGGAACUAGGCAAAAUGGUGCCGUAACUUCGGGAGAAGGCACGCUGGUGUGUAGGUGAAGCCCCUGCGGGUGGAGCUGAGACCAGUCGAAGAUACCAGCUGGCUGCAACUGUUUAUUAAAAACACAGCACUGUGCAAACACGAAAGUGGACGUAUACGGUGUGACGCCUGCCCGGUGCCGGAAGGUUAAUUGAUGGGGUUAUCCGUAAGGAGAAGCUCUUGAUCGAAGCCCCGGUAAACGGCGGCCGUAACUAUAACGGUCCUAAGGUAGCGAAAUUCCUUGUCGGGUAAGUUCCGACCUGCACGAAUGGCGUAAUGAUGGCCAGGCUGUCUCCACCCGAGACUCAGUGAAAUUGAACUCGCUGUGAAGAUGCAGUGUACCCGCGGCAAGACGGAAAGACCCCGUGAACCUUUACUAUAGCUUGACACUGAACAUUGAGCCUUGAUGUGUAGGAUAGGUGGGAGGCUUUGAAGCGUGGACGCCAGUCUGCGUGGAGCCAACCUUGAAAUACCACCCUUUAAUGUUUGAUGUUCUAACGUUGGCCCCUGACCGGGGUUGCGGACAGUGUCUGGUGGGUAGUUUGACUGGGGCGGUCUCCUCCCAAAGCGUAACGGAGGAGCACGAAGGUUAGCUAAUCCUGGUCGGACAUCAGGAGGUUAGUGCAAUGGCAUAAGCUAGCUUGACUGCGAGCGUGACGGCGCGAGCAGGUGCGAAAGCAGGUCAUAGUGAUCCGGUGGUUCUGAAUGGAAGGGCCAUCGCUCAACGGAUAAAAGGUACUCCGGGGAUAACAGGCUGAUACCGCCCAAGAGUUCAUAUCGACGGCGGUGUUUGGCACCUCGAUGUCGGCUCAUCACAUCCUGGGGCUGAAGUAGGUCCCAAGGGUAUGGCUGUUCGCCAUUUAAAGUGGUACGCGAGCUGGGUUUAGAACGUCGUGAGACAGUUCGGUCCCUAUCUGCCGUGGGCGCUGGAGAAUUGAGGGGGGCUGCUCCUAGUACGAGAGGACCGGAGUGGACGCAUCACUGGUGUUCGGGUUGUCAUGCCAAUGGCACUGCCCGGUAGCUAAAUGCGGAAGAGAUAAGUGCUGAAAGCAUCUAAGCACGAAACUUGCCCCGAGAUGAGUUCUCCCUGAGACUUUAAGUCUCCUGAAGGAACGUUAAAGACGAUGACGUUGAUAGGCCGGGUGUGUAAGCGCAGCGAUGCGUUGAGCUAACCGGUACUAAUGAACCGUGAGGCUUAACCUU